CUCGAGUGUGCUCGGCAGCCUCCUGUCCAACUCAACGCAUGCCCCAAAGGAUGACAAUGGGAGUGCGUGUGUAAAGAGCCGUUAACAGGUUUGCUAAUUGAGUGAGCGUACACAUCGCUAAUUGGACAGCUCUCAGGUAGGACGAUAGCUCCCUAAUUGCCCCACAUUCAACAGUUAUCGCUAUCCAAGUUGUUUGACGACUUGCCCACUGGUCAUGCUUGUUCUCUAACCCAAAA
rnacentral:lncRNA from 1 species